CUUUUAUAAAACACAAAGUUUUAAAACAAUAAUGACAGAACUGUUUUAAAUUGUACAAGUUAUUUAAUGUAACAACAUAAUUGUAUAUUUACAGCAUAAAUAGAACUUACUAAAUAGGUGUACAGCAAUUUAUUGUUAUCAAAUCUGAUUAAAAUCUCUUUAUUUGAUAGUAGGGAAUCCAGGCGCCUUCUGUCUUUUGUAUUUACCAAGACUUAGAAAUUAUACAAUAGGCUGAAUAUUUUAUUCCAGCAUAUUCUGUGAAGUCAUCCAUGUUGAUCCGUCGCCCAGGUGGAAUAUGGCUGUCAGAAGGGGGCGAAGCCGUGGCAAUAUCAGCCAGUAUUUUGGUUCUGAUCCGUUUGAUCUGGCGCAGCCGUUCCAGCCAGUUAGAGGUGUACGGAUCACAGCCCUCUUUGCCGAGAGAGCACGCCACCCGUGAUGCCAGCUGUACAAUCAUAUACUCAGAAUCUAAUUGAACAAUUCAGUAAAAACAAGAACAUUCUCCAUGUAUAAUCAAUCGUACAUGACAAUAAUGGCAUUAAUUGGAUAUCAACUACUAUUCUUAUAUAAAUGUGACACAAGAUCACUAUGUAAAUAAAUAUAUAUUUAGUUA